rnacentral:rRNA from 1 species
GUCGGUGCGCCCCAUAUAUCGGAAGCCUUGUAUUAAUAGUCUGCUGCUUUUCGUAGCUAGGCAACGCUUGAUUGAUGCUGGGAAAUGCUCACGAUGCCUAACCAGCAGCCGCUAUGCUAGUCCGCUAGCAUUUCGGUUCACAGAUCAUCUUCAGGCGGUCCCUUUGAGAUUAAGAUAUGACCGGUCCCGCUGAGACAUCAGUGGAAUCAUCGUUCCGUAGGUGAA